AGGGAAUCUUCCGCAAUGGGCGAAAGCCUGACGGAGCAACGCCGCGUGAGUGAUGAAGGUUUUCGGAUCGUAAAGCUCUGUUGCCAGGGAAGAACGUCGGAUAGAGUAACUGCUAUCCGAGUGACGGUACCUGAGAAGAAAGCCCCGGCUAACUACGUGCCAGCAGCCGCGGUAAUACGUAGGGGGCAAGCGUUGUCCGGAAUUAUUGGGCGUAAAGCGCGCGCAGGCGGCUGUUUAAGUCUGGUGUUUAAUCCUGGGGCUCAACCCCGGGUCGCACUGGAAACUGGACAGCUUGAGUGCAGAAGAGGAGAGUGGAAUUCCACGUGUAGCGGUGAAAUGCGUAGAGAUGUGGAGGAACACCAGAGGCGAAGGCGACUCUCUGGGCUGUAACUGACGCUGAGGCGCGAAAGCGUGGGGAGCAAAC
rnacentral:rRNA from 1 species